rnacentral:rRNA from 1 species
UCAGUCGAAGUUUACCUCACUCCCCCACUCGCCCGGGAACUACGAGCCAAGCUUAAAACCCAAAGGACUUGACGGUACCCCAUAUCCCCCUAGAGGAGCCUGUCCUAUAAUCGAUAACCCCCGUUUAACCUCACCAUUUCUAGCAACUCAGCCUGUAUACCUCCGUCGUCAGCUUACCACGUGAGCGCUAGUGAGCUCAAUGUUUUUUCAACUAAACGUCAGGUCAAGGUGCAACACAUGAAAUGGGAAGAGAUGGGCUACACUUUCUAAAAUAGAUCACACGGAAGACUAACUAUGAAAUCUAGUCAGAAGGCGGAUUUAGAAGUACAAAAGCAAUCAGAAAGUCCUUUGUGACCCGAGC